UACGUAGGGUGCAAGCGUUGUCCGGAAUUAUUGGGCGUAAAGAGCUCGUAGGCGGUCUGUCGCGUCGGCUGUGAAAACCCAGGGCUCAACCCUGGGCCUGCAGUCGAUACGGGCAGACUAGAGUCCGGCAGGGGAGACUGGAAUUCCUGGUGUAGCGGUGAAAUGCGCAGAUAUCAGGAGGAACACCGGUGGCGAAGGCGGGUCUCUGGGCCGGAACUGACGCUGAGGCGCGAAAGCGUGGGUAGCAAACGGG
rnacentral:rRNA from 1 species